UUUAACGGCCGCGGUAUCCUGACCGUGCAAAGGUAGCGCAAUCACUUGUCCUUUAAAUGGGGACCUGUAUGAAUGGUUUGACGAGGGUUUAGCUGUCUCCCCUUUCAGGUCAGUGAAAUUGAUCUGCCCGUGCAGAAGCGGACAUAAAAAUACAAGACGAGAAGACCCUUUGGAGCUUUAGGUACAAAACUCAGUCACGUCAAACAAACAUAUAAAAGUAGGGAACCUAAUGAACAGUGAGUUUCUACCUUCGGUUGGGGCGACCACGGAGGAAAAACAAGCCUCCGAGAGGACUGGGUACAACCCAGAGCCAAGAAAGACAUUUCUAAGACACAGAACAUCUGACCAUAUUUGAUCCGGUUAAACAAACCGAACGACGAACCAAGUUACCCUAGGGAUAACAGCGCAAUCCCCUUAAGAGCCCAUAUCGAUGAGAGGGUUUACGACU
rnacentral:rRNA from 1 species